GUACACGCUGUGACUAGCAUAUCAAUAAGCGGAGGAAAAGAAACUAACAAGGAUUCCCCUAGUAACGGCGAGUGAAGCGGGAAGAGCUCAAAUUUGAAAUCUUAAAGGGUUUCCCUUUACGAAUUGUAGUUUAAAGAAGUGUUUUCUGUUGAGGUUUUGGUAAAAGUUCUUUGGAAUAGGACAUCAUAGAGGGUGAGAAUCCCGUAUUUGACCUUUACUUUCAACUUUGUGAUACACUUUCAAAGAGUCGGAUUGUUUGGGAAUGCAGUCCAAAAUGGGUGGUAAAUUUCAUCUAAAGCUAAAUAUUGGCGAGAGACCGAUAGCGAACAAGUACCGUGAGGGAAAGAUGAAAAGAACUUUGAAAAGAGAGUUAAACAGUACGUGAAAUUGUCAAAAGGGAAGCGUUUGACACCAGUGUUGUUUUUCUGAAAAUCAAUUAAAGAACUGUUUAUGCUAAGUUGUUUAGACUUUAUCAGCUAAUCUGUUUAGUUUUGAGCUUUUCUUUAAUGCACUUUUCAGUUAACAAGUCAACAUCAAUUUCUUUUGCUGUAAAAAAGCUUGAGGAAGGUGGCUUGAGAUUCGUCUUAAGUGUUUAUAGCCUCUUGCCUAUGCAGUCGGAGAGAUCGAGGUCUGCAGCGUAGAUCCUUCGGGGCUAAAUGCAUUUGUGCUAAGUUAUAGCAUUUUAUAGACAACUUGUUGACUAUGAUUUGUCUUGUAGCUUACUCGCUUAUGUUAUUUUACCUACGCUUAGGAUGUUGAAGUCAUCGUAUCGCGC
rnacentral:rRNA from 1 species